rnacentral:rRNA from 1 species
GAAAGGCGGGCUAAUACCGAAUGACAUCUUGAAAACUUAUGUUUUCAGGAUCAAAGGUGGCCUCUACAUGUAAGCUACUGUUUGGGGAUGAGCCCGCGUACCAUUAGCUUGUUGGUAGGGUAAUGGCCUACCAAGGCUACGAUGGUUAGCUGGUCUGAGAGGAUGAUCAGCCACACUGGAACUGACACACGGUCCAGAUUCCUACGGGAGGCAGCAGUGAGGAAUUUUGCGCAAUGGGGGAAACCCUGACGCAGCAACGCCGCGUGAGUGAUGAAGGCUUUCGGGUCGUAAAGCUCUGUCAAGUGGGAAGAAAUCAUAUGGCCUUAAUACUGCCAUAUGUUGACGGUACCACUGAAGGAAGCACCGGCUAACUCCGUGCCAGCAGCCGCGGUAAUACGGGGGGUGCGAGCGUUAUUCGGAAUUACUGGGCGUAAAGAGCGCGUAGGCGGUCUUUUAAGUCAGGUGUGAAAGCCCGGGGCUCAACCCCGGAAGUGCACUUGAAACUAAGAGACUUGAGUAUGGGA